AUUGAACGCUGGCGGCAUGCUUUACACAUGCAAGUCGAACGGUAACAGGCCUUCGGGUGCUGACGAGUGGCGAACGGGUGAGUAAUGCAUCGGAACGUACCCAGAGGUGGGGGAUAACGCAGCGAAAGCUGUGCUAAUACCGCAUGUGAUCUGAGGAUGAAAGCGGGGGACCGAGCAGCAAUGUUUGGCCUCGCGCCUUUGGAGCGGCCGAUGUCGGAUUAGCUAGUUGGUGGGGUAAAGGCCUACCAAGGCGACGAUCCGUAGCGGGUCUGAGAGGACGACAAGCCACAGGGGGAAGGAGCCAGGGCCAAGACUCAGAGGGGAGGCGGAAGGGGGAAAUGUGGGACAAGGGGGGGAGGCUGGACCAAGAAAGGCGGCGGGGGGAAAAAGGGCCUUCGGUUUGAAACCGGUUUUGGGAGGAAACGAAGGGGGGUCGGCAAAUACGGGGGGUAAAUGAGGUAACCUGAAAAAAAAGAACGGGCAAACUAGGGG
rnacentral:rRNA from 1 species